AGUGAACGCUGGCGGUAGGCCUAACACAUGCAAGUCGAACGGCAGCACAGUAAGAGCUUGCUCUUACGGGUGGCGAGUGGCGGACGGGUGAGGAAUACAUCGGAAUCUACUUUUUCGUGGGGAUAACGUAGGGAAACUUACGCUAAUACCGCAUACGACCUACGGGUGAAAGCAGGGGAUCUUCGGACCUUGCGCGAUUGAAUGAGCCGAUGUCGGAUUAGCUAGUUGGCGGGGUAAAGGCCCACCAAGGCGACGAUCCGUAGCUGGUCUGAGAGGAUGAUCAGCCACACUGGAACUGAGACACGGUCCAGACUCCUACGGGAGGCAGCAGUGGGGAAUAUUGGACAGCGGGCGCAAGCCUGAUCCAGUCAUACCGCGUGGGUGACGACGGCCUUCGGGUUGUAAAGCCCUUUUGUUGGGAAAGAAAAGCAGCAGGUUAAUACCCCGCUGUUCUGACGGUACCCAAAGAAUAAGCACCGGCUAACUUCGUG
rnacentral:rRNA from 1 species